rnacentral:rRNA from 1 species
GAUGAACGCUGGCGGCGUGCCUAAUACAUGCAAGUAGAACGCUGAAGGAGGAGCUUGCUCUUCUGGAUGAGUUGCGAACGGGUGAGUAACGCGUAGGUAACCUGCCUGGUAGCGGGGGAUAACUAAUGGAAACGAUAGCUAAUACCGCAUGACAACAGUUAUUGCAUGAUAACUGUUUAAAAGGGGCAACUGCUCCACUACCAGAUGGAUCUGCGUUGUAUUAGCUAGUUGGUGUGGUAACGGCUCACCAAGGCGACGAUACAUAGCCGACCUGAGAGGGUGAUCGGCCACGCUGGGAUGGGGACACGGCCCAGACUCCUACGGGAGGGAGCAGUAGGGGAUCUUCGGCGAUGGACGGAAGUCUGACCGAGCAACGCCGGGUGAGUGAAGAAGGUUGUCGGGUCGUAAAGCUCUGUUGUACGAGAAGAACGAGUGUGAGAGUGGAACGUUCACACUGUGACGGUACCUUACGAGAAAGGGACGGCUAACUACGUG